rnacentral:rRNA from 1 species
GAUGAACGCUGGCGGCGUGCUUAACACAUGCAAGUCGAACGGUGAACGAGGGAGCUUGCUCCCUCCGGAUCAGUGGCGAACGGGUGAGUAACACGUGAGCAAUCUGCCCUGGACUCUGGGAUAAGCGUUGGAAACGACGUCUAAUACCGGAUACGAGACGCGAAGGCAUCUUCAGCGUCUGGAAAGAACUUCGGUCCAGGAGGAGCUCGCGGCCUAUCGGGUAGUUGGUGAGGUAACGGCUCACCAAGCCUACGACGGGUAGCCGGCCUGAGAGGGUGACCGGCCACACUGGGACUGAGACACGGCCCAGACUCCUACGGGAGGCAGCAGUGGGGAAUAUUGCACAAUGGGCGCAAGCCUGAUGCAGCAACGCCGCGUGAGGGACGACGGCCUUCGGGUUGUAAACCUCUUUUAGCAGGGAAGAAGCGAAAGUGACGGUACCUGCAGAAAAAGCACCGGCUAACUACGUGCCAGCCGCCGCAGUAACAC